rnacentral:pre_miRNA from 2 species
UUUUAUGGAUGAGCAAAGAAAGUAGAUUCUUGAGAGAAUCUACUCCUGGUGAAGACGCUGUGAA